UUUGGCAUGACAACCGCUUUGUGUGGAACUCAUCACCAGCCGUUAUCAUGUUGAUUG
rnacentral:pre_miRNA from 1 species